GACGAACGCUGGCGGCGUGCUUAACACAUGCAAGUCGAACGGAAAGGCCCUGCUUUUGUGGGGUGCUCGAGUGGCGAACGGGUGAGUAACACGUGAGUAACCUGCCCUUGACUUUGGGAUAACUUCAGGAAACUGGGGCUAAUACCGGAUAGGAGCUCCUGCUGCAUGGUGGGGGUUGGAAAGUUUCGGCGGUUGGGGAUGGACUCGCGGCUUAUCAGCUUGUUGGUGGGGUAGUGGCUUACCAAGGCUUUGACGGGUAGCCGGCCUGAGAGGGUGACCGGCCACAUUGGGACUGGGAGACGGCCCAGACUCCUACGGGAGGCAGCGGUAGGGAGUAUUGCACAAUGAGAGGAAGCCUGAUGCAGCAACGCCGCGUGCGGGAUGACGGCCUUCGGGUUGUAAACCGCUUUCGCCUGUGACGAAGCGUGAGUGACGGUAAUGGGUAAAGAAGCACCGGCUAACUACGUG
rnacentral:rRNA from 1 species